UACAGAGGGGGCAAGCGUUAUUCGGAAUUAUUGGGCGUAAAGGGCGCGUAGGCGGCCUGGCAAGUGGAAGGUGAAAUCCCUCGGCUUAACCGAGGAACUGCCCUCCAAACUGCUUGGCUUGAGUCCGGGAGAGGUGAGUGGAAUUCCCAGUGUAGCGGUGAAAUGCGUAGAUAUUGGGAGGAACACCAGUGGCGAAGGCGGCUCACUGGACCGGAACUGACGCUGAGGCACGAAGGUCAGGGGAGCAAACAGG
rnacentral:rRNA from 1 species